UAUUAGUGGAAACAACAAUAAUCUGUUACAAAGAAUACGUCCGCUCUAACAAAACCCAACUUCAAGGUCAUUACGGGCUUAACAUGAAGGCCCAAAUUCCGCUGACUAUUCCCGCUAAAUUAGGGUCUGUUUGAUACAUGAGUUUUAUUUUCCUAAUUUCCCGCUUCUUGACUCGGUAAGAUGUUUUACGCAUCUAAAUUGAAAGAGCCAUAUCCUCCCAAAAUCUUCACUUCUCACCUCCUCUCCUCUCGCCGGCCCGCCUCUCUCUCAUGGCGUUCUUUGGCUCUCACCAGCGCUGUCAUCAACUUCACUACAGUGCUCAACGUAUUACCAUGAUAUGUGGGCAUCAAGAGCUGGUGGUUUACAUCAUGCCAAGAAGUUUGAAGCAUAUGACUUUUGUUACAUAAAUAACUUGGUUUGGGGAAUUUUGGAAGUAUUGUGCCCAUGUUAAAAGCUUAGCAAAGGAGCCAAAAAUGCUGUUUUGAAGUAGAUAAUGUCAAGCUGUGGGGUGCUUAUGAUGGUCUUAAUGUGGCUAGAACCUUAGGAGUAAGGAAGGUGCUUCUCGAAACUUGAUAGUAUAUCCACAAUCAAGAUUCUGACAUCCACUCUAAAUGAACCUUCAUCUAAUGGCCUGCUGCGUUCAAUUCAUCAUAGGAUGUAGCUAGAUUGGGAUCUCCAAAUUACUCACACUUAUCGUGAAGAGAAUUGAGCUCCAGAUGCAAUGGCAAAAGAAGCUGGUUCCAUGAGCUUGGGGCUUUGCUAAUUUUACUCUCCUCCAGAGGCUUUACUGCAAAUUUUACAAGAGGAUAGCAUUGGUUUUGCUAUUCCUAGAAUGGUCAUAGGUUUAUUUGUUUUCAUUCCAUACUGUAGCAAAAACAAAGUUGUUUUGGAAAGAGGUCUUGUAUUGACUAUAUAUUCAAAUCUGUAUAAAA